GUCUUCGUGGUGUAACGGUAGCACCCUCGGCGCGUAUUCCAGAGGUCCAGGUUCGAGUCCCGGCGAGGGCA
rfam:Stegodyphus mimosarum contig84222, whole genome shotgun sequence.